AUACUUCCCUGGCUUAGAGGAUACAGUGAUCAAAUAGGCGGUUCACAAAGGGUGGGCCGCUUCAUUGCACUGCAUAGUGGUUCACCCUUGUGAUUGUCUCUAAUGCUGAACACCCGGACGCGUAAUUUUUGGUGGUGGGGACUGUGUUUGCCGCAUCCCCCUU